CUGAACCGAGGGCCUCCCAUGCUCCUUGUAGAGGUUUCCGGUCGUCUCCCCCUGGGCUGACGUUGUCGCUCUGUAUCCCCAGGAUGUGCUCAGGCCAGUGUGCAGAGAUCUGGAGAUAGGUCACCCAACACCUACACCACCAGAGGAAUGUGAAGAAGAUCCGAGGGAACUUGCUGUGGUACCAGCAUCUGGAGGAGGCAGAGGGAAAGCCCAGCAGGUCGGAACCGGAGCAGGAGCGGCCCGCCUGCGUGGGGAGCUGCAGCAGUUGGACCUGCAGAUGGAGACGGCCCAGCGCGAGAUCAUGGCUGACGGUAAGGGGGAAGCCCCAAGGAUCUGUGGGGCCAGCAUAGUGUGUGCCCCCAACGCUCUACCCCAGCCCAUCACUGUGGGGGUGGGGGGCACAAAGUCCACCCCAGUCCUCCCAUCUGUUCUCCCACAGCAGACAGUGGGACCGUCCCCCUGCAGCCCAGAUCCAUUUCCCCCACUUCUUCGUAGGGCGCAGGAUUGUUCCCCUACCCUGCCCUCCUUGGGGGCACCAUCUCCCCAUGUGGGCUCUUCCCCAGCCGCAAGGUUCCCGUGGGCCAUGGGGCUGCUGCUUUUUUCCCCCAUGCUCCCUCCCCAGACAAUUGCCUGUGGGAUUCACACCCAUCACCUCAGGAUUCCUGGGUUCUGUCUCCUAGUCUGGGAGCAGGGGAGGGGGAGAGGCUGGGAGCCAGGACUCCUGGGUUCUAUCCCUAGCUCUGGGAAGGGAGUGGGACCUAGGGGUUAGCGUCUGGGGCUCGGGGUGGGGUUUCCCUGACACUCUUUCUCCUCCCACCCCACAGAGUUCUGUAGAUAAAUCUCUGAUAAUUUUCAUAUGACUUUAUAUUGUGCCUCUUCAUAUAACCUUGUGGUGGGUCUACCCACGUGUGACCUCUGUUUUCAUGGGA